UCUCGAAUAGCUCAGUCGGUAGAGCAAGUGACUGUUAAUCACUGGGUCGGCGGUUCGAGCCCGUCUUCGAGAGCCA
rnacentral:tRNA from 1 species